GGCCGGGGCUGCUCGUGGUGGUGGUGGUUUAGUCAGGUAGCCCGGGACCCGCUAGUGCAGCCUUUCUGGGGCUGUUUAAGACAUAGCUUGGUGUUUGGAUUUUAUUUAGCUUUUAUUUAGCUGUGGGGUGAGCACCCUUUUGGCAGAGGGUGCAGCCCCUUACAGCCAUUUUGUGAAGCAGUUUAUGUCUCAGUAUCGCUUCCAUCAGAGCAAGUAAAGCUUGAAAAGUAAGUUUGUUUGGAAAAGGUUUAAGUAAGGUGGGUAAGCUGAGUCCCAGUAUAUAUUGACAACUUAGCACACCACCAUGAACGCGAUGGAGAGAAAACGCAAUAAAAGGCCGUGUUGUGUUUUGGACUGGCCCAGGACUGCAGUAAAGUGUGAGCAGGAAGCAAAGCCUCACCUUUGCACGGUCCUUGGUUGCUGUGCUGUGUGCUGCUAAUGAAUGAUAUUGGGAAACAGAGGUGAACAGUAAAAAGAUUCAGCUGGGUUUGAAGACAGGAAUAGGGAAUUGCCUUCCUGGUUAGGCCUUGCUGUCUACUUUAGGAGAAUUCAGUGUGGUCUGAGGCUUUUCAGGAGUUUCUUGUGGAGAUUCAUCUGGAGGACUAAGAAAGUGGAGCCAGUGCCACUAUAUUGACUCCACUGAUACUAUCCUCCUAAAUUAAAUGGUGGGAGAACAAGGCCUGUCUGUGAGAUAAAAGUCAGGACCUACUUGAUCUACCUACAGUGUUUUAUUAGCAGUGAGAGAGAGCAGGUUAAAAGUCAUGUGUUUCUGUAGUAAAAGGUUGGAUGUGUUUGUUUUAAAUCUAGAUUAAAUGUAUUCCCGCUAUUGUGUUGUCUUUUGUAUUUGUGCCUUUGACAUGUGUCACCUGUUUAAUUGCUCACAGGCCCUUUGUUCCCGGCUCCAGCACUGGGUGAGGAGGGACACUGGACAUCCCUUGGAUUACGAUACUUCUGUCACUGCCUUAGCAGUCCUGUGCCAUGCCUGGUGAUCACCAUGGGGCUGUUCUCCUGAGCAGAGAGAGACAUUCUCCUGUACUCAGCCACUGGCAGCACAACAACAGAGCUGUUGUUUGGUACCUGUGUGUGGAGUCCCACUGAAGGGGUGUCUGAGCACCUUGAAUUUGGCUCAGAAAAUCUGCCCUUGCACUGUCCAGUGAGAGGGUUGUGAGGUCCUGGGGACCUGCCAGUUCAGAUCACCAGUUGGAAAGUAUUUGCCAGGUUACAGCUAUGGUUGAAACACUUGAGGUGAAAGCUGGUGGUGGGUAGUGGCAUCAUGGGUUCACCAGCAGCCUUUGUGCAUUAGAGGCUCUGUUGGGAGGUUCAGAUGUCCUUAUACCUCUGCUCUGAUACCUGUGUGUUACACUCUUUCAGGUAUCUAAGAGUGGGGCUCUCAGUUUUUUGGCUGAUAGGGGUAAAACAUGUUCCAGUGGGUAGAAGUUGGCCCCAGAGUCAAGGAGUACAUUUUGAAGCAAAGCAUGGUGCUAUCUCAGCACUUCCAUCCCCUGCACAGGAGCUGUACCCUAGAGCUGCUGUUCCCAUGGCCAUGCCAGCAUCAGCAGGGCACACGUGGCCACAAGCUGCUCUGCUCACUGGCAAACAGAGCAACUGAAGGUCUCUGGCCUGCCUACAGCAGGUGUGACAAAGUGACCAUAACAACCUUUUCUGCCCUGAAAAUGCCUUGAUUCCUGGUAGGUUGAGAAAUGAUGCUGUGCUGGUAUAGCUCAGUGUUGCUAAACCCAUCUUCUGAGGCUUUUGAAGCGUUUAUCCAAGAGCAGCUGGUACUGAUCAGUGCUGUAGUGACAUAGUCAGCUCCUGUUUUUGUGGUUUAUAAAGGCCUGUUUUGGUAAGACUUUUUUCACGCUAUUUGAGAAAGAACAGACAAGGUUUUGAUACACAGUUCUAUGUAAAAUCUCUUUAGUUUUGCCAAUGGCAUUUAUUUGUAGAGACCCUGCAUAUUGUAGAGGCCACUGCUUAUUCCUGGUGAUUCCCUAGAAUGGAAACUUGAACCAAUGAUUUUUGUAAUCAGUGUGCAAUAAAUAUGUGGAAAAGCU